CCUACGGGGGGCUGCAGUGGGGAAUAAUGGACAAUGGGCGAAAGCCUGAUCCAGCCAUGCCGCGUGUGUGAAGAAGGCCUUCGGGUUGUAAAGCACUUUCAGUGGGGAAGAAAGCCUUGGGGCUAAUACCCUCGAGGAAGGACAUCACCCACAGAAGAAGCACCGGCUAACUCCGUGCCAGCAGCCGCGGUAAUACGGAGGGUGCGAGCGUUAAUCGGAAUUACUGGGCGUAAAGCGCGCGUAGGCGGUCUGAUAAGCCGGUUGUGAAAGCCCCGGGCUAACCUGGGAACGGCAUCCGGAACUGUCAGGCUAGAGUGCAGGAGAGGAAGGUAGAAUUCCCGGUGUAGCGGUGAAAUGCGUAGAGAUCGGGAGGAAUACCAGUGGCGAAGGCGGCCUUCUGGACUGACACUGACGCUGAGGUGCGAAAGCGUGGGUAGCAAACAGGAUUAGAUACCCGUGUAGUC
rnacentral:rRNA from 1 species